GACACCAAAGACCGCCAUGCUAUUCUGUCCAGUCGACGGCGCCGAGUUCGCUAAGGUAUUUCUGCACUUCGUUUCUCCAGCGGUACCUAGGGCGUCCAGACGGUCUUCGGCCACUUGGUACUCCAGAGUACGCCCUCCAGACUGCGCGAUCUUCCCCCAUCCGGACUACGUGCCCGAGCCAUCGGAGUCUGGCG